UGGUAAUGAUGGCAGAGAGGUCACACCCGUUCCCAUACCGAACACGGAAGUUAAGCUCUCUAGCGCCGAUGGUAGUUGGGACCUUGUCCCUGUGAGAGUAGG
rnacentral:rRNA from 1 species